AAGAAAAUGUUACAUACCGCUUGUGUUAAAUUCACACAUCGAACCGUUUCGUGUACAAGAACGCUUCGGUGAGUAAAAAUUUUGCUCAUAAUGUGAGUAACGGCUUCCAUACUCACAUUUUGUGUAAAUGAGCUUUUAGCGUUUGUUCCGAAAACGUUUCGAAAUGGAGAGAUUGUUUUUAAACGUCAAGUUUCGAAACAAAUUCCACAUCGGAAGCUUGUGUUUGCUCGUAAAAACUUUUAUAAUGUGUUCCGCAGCUUCUUAUUCCGGUCGAGAUUCCACAUCAAAACUGUCCCAGCAUGGACGAGCAACUCGAUGGACAAAGCAGCCUUGAAGGAAAAUCCUCAUCCGGUAAAAGUCAACGGUUUCAUCUCCAAGAGGAAAGAUCUCCAGCCGGCCGUGGAAUGAAUCAUCCCGCUGCUAACCUAACGCUCGUCAGAAGUGGCUUGAGGAAUUAGCUGUUCAAUUUCGUUCCAGAAAAGUGGACACAAAUUCUGGGAAUUCAUAUUUAAAAAGAGUAAUAUAAAAACUUUUAAAGUAA